rnacentral:rRNA from 1 species
AGCUCCAAUAGCGUAUAUUAAAGUUGUUGCAGUUAAAAAGCUCGUAGUUGAAUUUUAGGCUUGGUUGGACGGUCUGCCUUAGGGUUUGUACUGUCCUGGCUGGGUCUUACCUUCUGGUAAACUGUCGUGUCGUUUAUUCGGCGCGGCAGGGAACCAGGACUUUUACUUUGAAAAAAUUAGAGUGUUUAAAGCAGGCUUCUCGCUUGAAUACAUUAGCAUGGAAUAAUAGAAUAGGACUUUUGGUUCUAUUUUGUUGGUUUCUAGGACCGAAGUAAUGAUUAAUAGGGAUAGUUGGGGGCAUUAGUAUUUAAUUGUCAGAGGUGAAAUUCUUGGAUUUAUGAAAGACUAACUUCUGCGAAAGCAUUUGCCAAGGAUGUUUUCA